rnacentral:lncRNA from 1 species
GGGCGGCGUACUUCCAGCGCCGCCAACAGCAGCGCCUGGCCUCCACCAACGACACGCCGGUGGUUGGCGGCGUGAAGAACAGCGUGGGGCGCCACCUGUGGUGGGGCGUCCCGGGCCACAUGCUGGAGGGCGUGCUGACGCACCUCGACGGUGGCAACAACCCGCCGUUGACCUAUCCUGCGACGGGGGCCGCCCCGUCGCAACACCGACGCGCAUGGGCGCCAAGGAGGUUUGCCUCCUCCUCGUCUUCCUCCUCUCGCUCAUCUUCCCACUCCUCCAGUUCUCCGGCGCUUCUCGGCGUCAAGGCCGAGCCCGCGACGGAGACGCCAAUCGGUCGGCGCACUCGCAGCGUCGGCAUCGUCAUCAACGAGGGCGGUCGGCGCGCCUCCUCCUCGUCGGCUCCUCCGCGCUUCGUCAAGCCGAAGAUGGAGCCGGGGCUGGCGCCGGUGAAGACGGAGUCGGGGCUGGCGCCGGUGGAGGCGGAGUUCGACGACGACGACGCGGUCCUAGAAUGGGCGCGCCAGGACUCCAUUGUGAUGGAGAAGGCGCGCCGGGAGAAGGAGAAGGAACGCCAGCGCGCCGCCCUGCGCCGCUUCGAGGAGCGCCGACGCGGCCGCUUUUUGAAGACGGGGUCGUCGUCUUAUGCGACAGCGAUGACGACGACGACGCGCCGCCGCCAGUCCGCCAUGGUGACGCCGGGCAGGGGUCCAGCAGGGGCGCCCGCGUCAAGGAGGAGAAGGCCGACGACGACGAUGGCGGCGACGGCGGCGACGACUUCAGCCCUUUUCUUUUUUAGAUUAGGUUAAUGUAAUGAAAAUGCGCGAAUUUCACCGAAAUUUGCCAUGUUUGGCCGAAAUUUAACUAGUUUUUAUCAUAACUUCGCCGAACGGUCCUUUUUUUUAAAUACGCGCCUGGGGCGGCCCUGGGGCCGACUCGCCCCAGGGCCAUUUUUUGCGCCGGCUCACCCCCAGGCGGCGCUUUUAGACGCCCCCUGGGGGGCCAACGGCUGAAGAUGCCCUCAGACGUCUGAUUUGCCAUGCUAAAAAAAUUUAACGUCGAUUUAUAGCAAAAUCCGCAACUACGGGCGUACACUUGUAGUUUUUUUUUUUUUUUGCGGGAAGUACACUUGCAGUUUAUGACAACGGCCAGCUUGCUAAUUUAAGUAUAUUGGCCGAUCUCUCGGGAUUGAUACUAUAAUCCUCAGACAAUGAUGAAUAAAUAUACUGGCAUCUAUCCUGGAGAAGUCGAAUAUGUUUAUUGGCAUACAUGCCGUCGAAGCCCGCAAAAAAAAGAAGACGGCCUUGAGGAUAAGUAGGCGAAAUCAUGGAGAUCGGUCUGUCUCUGUUGUUGAUCUCCAGCAGUCGAGCUGCCUUGUGCGCAUUAUUGUUGUGCUAGCCCCGCGUUAACUAGCUAGCUAGGAGGUUUUUUGUUAGCACAUGGGUCUCAUGCUCGAGUAGUAUAUGUAAGCUUACUCAUGGCACGCACGCACGUCCAUCGAUCGAUGCUGUUGAUCUAUUUCCGGCUCUGAUUACUUAACUAGUUUCAUAAAAAAAACUUAAUUAGUUGAUUUUUAAUUUGUUUAGCGGUGGAAGUUAGCUAAGAAUUCAAGAUUGCUGAUUCUCAUAGCAAAUGUAAUAAUAAGUAUUUCAAAGUUCGGUUGUGAAGAUCUGUCAUACUCAUAGUAGUUGUUAUUAUUUUAUUUAUUUUUUGAAAAGGACGAAGACCCUAGCCUUGGUUGGAUCAUGUAUAUGCAGCCACUUUAUUAAUCAUUCACACAAGACCUUGCGAAGUUAUACAAUAGUAAAACUAAAAACCACCGUCUAGACAACAUCUGUCGCUACUUCUAUUCAAUUGAUGAAGGGAUGCUGAUAGUUUGGGAUUAAUACCAAACAGACCUCACAGCCAAACCUAACAUCUAAGACCUGAGGUCCCAACCAGGACGUCCGCCGGGUAUGAGGCCACCGCAGCCACCUGCGACCAAUGCAUCUUCAGUGUUGUACUGCUGCAUCUACCUUGCCCGGUCUAUCUGCCGUCGACGCCACCACGACGCCAGACAACCCCGCUAUCCUGUGCUCGUCCAUCAUCACACGCCCACUGGCGAGACCCCGCUGCUCCAUGCCGCUGAGAACCGCCAUUAUCGACGUGCCAGAUGCCACGUUGCUCCUCCAUCUCGAACACCACCUGUUAACACUGGUCCCAUCCCCUCCGCCUGUAGUUCGUCUAACCGAGCACCCAAACGCCCCAGGCGGCGCCUGCAAGAAGGGUACGACACGUGUAGUGCCGCUGUCGCCCAAUCUAAGAAGAUUUUGGGUUUUCACCCGGGCAUGGGGUCGGGGUGGAGGGCAGGGACCUCGAAGACGACUGCAAGGAGGAGAACUGCGCCCCUGGUCAUCGCCACCGUCGGGAUGAACAAGUCAUCCAGAAUUUCCUCCGGUCCGAUGUCACCUCUACCAGCCCCCGCGAACGCACCGAGGCCGACGACCACGAUCGUAAGCCACCAAGUGCAGCAGGAGAGAGCCUGCGGCGCGGAGGAGAUCCACUGGCAUCUCACCGCCCNNNNNNNNNNNNNNNNNNNNNNNNNNNNNNNNNNNNNNNNNNNNNNNNNNNNNNNNNNNNNNNNNNNNNNNNNNNNNNNNNNNNNNNNNNNNNNNNNNNNNNNNNNNNNNNNNNNNNNNNNNNNNNNNNNNNNNNNNNNNNNNNNNNNNNNNNNNNNNNNNNNNNNNNNNNNNNNNNNNNNNNNNNNNNNNNNNNNNNNNNNNNNNNNNNNNNNNNNNNNNNNNNNNNNNNNNNNNNNNNNNNNNNNNNNNNNNNNNNNNNNNNNNNNNNNNNNNNNNNNNNNNNNNNNNNNNNNNNNNNNNNNNNNNNNNNNNNNNNNNNNNNNNNNNNNNNNNNNNNNNNNNNNNNNNNNNNNNNNNNNNNNNNNNNNNNNNNNNNNNNNNNNNNNNNNNNNNNNNNNNNNNNNNNNNNNNNNNNNNNNNNNNNNNNNNNNNNNNNNNNNNNNNNNNNNNNNNNNNNNNNNNNGCCGUCGCCAUGCCUAGCGGGUCCGCCGCCCCAGGUCCAGGUUCCUCCACGAUGGCCGGAGUGGCGAGAUCCGUCAUGAGCGACGAGAUCCGGCACCGCGCGGCCGACACCAUCUCGCCCAAGCCCGCCGUCGACCAAUCAUGCCGCCGAUCUAGGUGCCCGUGCACCACAGCCCGCCGCCUCCGGGAUCCGCCACACCGUCGAGAGGGCCGCACCCCGCGGAUCAGGACGCCCGCGCCGCCGCGGAUCCGGGAGACGGAGGAGAGACCCUCCGCCGCCGCCUUCGCACGCACGGGCUUUGCCCGGCGCCGACCAUCGGCAGCGGAGGAGGAGGAGAAGGGCGCUGGAGGGUUACUAGGCGGCGGCGGCGGCUGAGCCCUCCCAAGCCGCCCGCGGGGGAGGCGACGCGAGGGGGAGUAGCUGUUAUAAGUACGUAUUUAAAUGUUCAGAGUUUCGCACAACAUUUGUACUUGUGUAUUCAGUUCGAAAAGGAAGCUGUAAAGAUCUUUGAUUCUCAUAUAGGAGUUUUUCCUAUUUAAAUGUUGUGCGGAAUAACCGAUCUCUACUCCACGUACGACGCGGCGAGGGGCGAGGUCGACAUGGCCGGUCUGGUUCAAUCCCAUUGUCCCGUCUCCGUCGGCGAUGCCGGCCGGCGGGGUCCAAGUUCGAAGAUUCCCUGCUGCCCGUCUCAUUCGUUCAGUUCCACCACCGGCACUUAAUUUGGAGCUGUUCAGGAUUGAGGGAACCCGUGUGGGUGCAUUGUAGCGGUAGGUGACCACCACUCACAUGCACGCAACAACGAGACCGAUGUAUUCAUGCGUGCAUGCAAUCAUGCCCAAGCUUUAACUGUGUGCACGGCUGCACGCUCGGCAAUUCAUUGCAUGACAUGUUUAAGUACGUUGAUGAUGGCCUUUCGUUUCAGUUGAUUUUUUUUUAGGAAACGCAGGAGAGCUGCGAUUUCAUUAUAAUAAGACGGCGAAAGAGACGCCAGCUGUACAAAAGCGAGCGAACUCGCUGAAGAAGGAAAGAAAGAAAAAGAAGGAAAAAAAAAGGGGGGCGCCUAGGUCCUACUCUCGCGGCAUUAAGUGCUUCCCGCCUGCCUACGUCCAGGUUGUGAUCUCGUCGCCAACAGAGUCCAGCGCUCUCUCGACAGAUCAUUCUUGACCUCUGAAAAUCCUGCUAUUUCUCUUGCCCCAGAUCGUCCAAGCUAGGAGCAGGGAGAUGGACAUCGCCUUCUUGGCCUGUGUUGCGUUGGUCGUCAAGCCCAAGAGCCACUCGGUUGUGUCAGUCCUUAUGCUCCAGUUAUCAGGGUGGCGUGACUGUAGUUGAAGACGAUCAGCCCCCCUCGCCCACAGACAUCGAGCCCAUGGGCACUCCUUGAACAGAUGCACAUUGGUCUCCAGGCUACGCACACAGAGAGGGCAAAAGUAGCAGUUUGGCCAUUGCCUCGCCAUCAACCUGUCCGCGAUGAGAAGCCUAUUAAUGGUGAGAAGCCAGGCGAAAAGCUUGAUCUUUGCCGGCGCCCAUGCCUUCCACACUGCCUCCAUGAUGGGUGAUCACGUAGACCCCAAGAACUGCAAGUGGUAUGCCGAGCUUGUGGAGAACACACCCGAUUCCGUCAAUUUCCAAGUGAAGACAUCCCGGCCGGCCGACAGUUGGCUAGCUGCCGCCACCUUCGUCCAGAGGUUGACGAAUUGAGGUAGCAAUCCCGUGGUCACCCGCCCUUGCACAUCACGCACCCAGCUGUUGCCCGGAGCGCCGCAUGCACCAUCUUGUUUUUUCGGCGCGCCAUCUGGAAGAGCUCAGGUGCCACUAGGAAUUUUAUCCAACGGCUAUGGCUCUUGAUUUGAACGGCCGGUUUCCACCUACGGUUUCCUGCCGUUGGUCCGCACACGGCUCACGGCGCUGCUCUACCCGGGCCACCGCCUUCGCCGUGCCCCGGGCCAUUUGUCUAAGCCCAACCUUAUCCGCCCUGCACAACACACUCAAACCUUUAAGAACAUCUACAUCCGGACUUUGUAAAUCUGGUCCUUUGCUCUGACGCGUCUACGGACACUGUCCGUUCACGUCUCAAAUAAUGCAAUUCACAUCUGAACACCUCAGUUAUCAUAUCUUAAAUUCAUACAAACUCAUGCAACUACGUCGAUGCACACAUAUCGUCCGGCUACUCCAUCACACUACACUAAGCAUGCCUUCGGACUAGCAAAAUUUGACAUGUUUGACUGUGGUGGAGAUCAUCCACGGUUGCCCUUGCCCUUUCCGGCGCUCUUGUUGUCCUUCUCGCGGAAGUACCGGUCGAAGACGCAGUAGGGAUCAAGCUGGAUCUGCUUGUCCCGGAGCUAUCCUCGCCGUCGAUGUCCUUCUCCUCCUUCGGUGGCAGUCCGGCCAUGGCACGGACUGCCCGAUUCUGCUCCUGGGCGAGGGUGCGCGUGUUCCUCCACUGUCGUUUUUCACAAUGCGGACGCGGAUGACUUGAUCCUACGCGGUCGCCCGCGCAGCCUCCGCCGCCGCCAUUUCCGCCGCAAUAUGGGCCUCGGCGGCCCUUAUACUCUCCUUCCCACGGCGUGCUGCCCGUUCCCGAUGGGAAUCAUAGUCUGCCCGACCGGUGAUACGGAAUGAGAGAUUUUCCAGCUGGCGAGACUGUGGUUAUCCAGCCCUAAAGGACCUGAGCGCUUGUUGAGCCGACACAAUGGAGUCGUGCCGGACAAAUCCGUCCGUCGCCGGGCGCUGUCCUCCCGGGAGCGGCGGAGUGCAAUGCAGAUCACCAUUGCCUCCUCCAACCCACAUGAGAUGACACCCCAGUCGACGGAUCCGGACUGGUCGGAGUUAGAUCCGCUGCCCGUCAUGCCAAAGACGGCCGAAAAUCACCGGAGGUGAGCUCGGGUGGCGGAGGGAGUAGCGGGGAGAGGAGUGUAAAGUGGCUAGGGUUUGGUCCGGCGAACGGAUGUGACCAAAUAUAUGUGGGGUCGGGUGGGCUAGCGUUGGCCGGGUCCGACAUGGCGGACGCGCCCGGGCACCCUCAUAUUUGGACUGGAUAUGAGGGGUGUCGGUCAGCCCGGGCGUUUGAGACCCGUUUGAAGCGUCCAUCCAGCUCAAAAAAUCGUGACUAGUCAAUGACCGGAUGGACCGCCCGGGCGUUCGAGAGGGUGACCGCAUGUAGAUGCUCUAAGGCCUCCAAGAAAUCAUUCUAGGUUCAUCCUCACUUGGAAUAUUCUUGCUUAGGGAAUCACUACAAAAUCAGCUGACGGUGUAGGAAUAUAAUGGACCCGAAUAUCCAGCUACCGUUAGAUUUUUAGGCAUGAUAAAUCCAAUAAAAGAAUUAGGAACAAAAUGUGAAAAAAUGUGGCUGAAAAUUUUGAGAAAAGAGAUGUGCCUGUUGGCAAGGUAGAUUGCUUAACAUAGCAGGUCGAGUUACUUUGGUACAGUCUUGUUUGUCUAAUAUCCCUAUUUAUAUGAUGUCUUUCUAUCUUCUCCCUGCUGGGGUCAAAAAGAAAGUGGACUUUUACAGAGCCAGGAUGGUAUGGCAAGCUGAGAAAGAUAAAAGGAAAUACCACCUAGUAAACUGGAGAACCUGUUGUCUUCAAAAUAGCAAGGGGGACUGGGGAUUACAAAUCUGGAGAUGUUUAACAUUGCUUUAUUAGCUAAAUGGCUGUGGAAAUUAGAGAAUGAUGAGGGGUUCUGUCAGGGUAUUAUUAAAAAGAAAUAUGUAGGAAACAAAUGUCUUUCUGGGAUUGAGCAUAAAAAUGGAGACUCCCAAUUUUGGUGUAACAUUUUGAAAGUUAAAAAAUACUUCUAUCCCCAUGUUAAGAAAAAACUGGGGGAUGGGAAAAAUACUAGGUUUUGGGAAGACUGGUGGGUGGGUGAUAAACCACUGAAAGAAGCCUAUCCCUCUCUAUUCUUCAUUAACAAUGACCAUGGAAUUUCGGUUAAGGAUGCUAUUAAUAAAUGGUGGGGUGGCUUCUCUUUCAGAAGAUCUUUAUUUGGAGACACUGAACAGCUUUGGACUAGUAUGAAAAAUAGGUGUGAGGAAAUCUUGAUAUAUGGGGGGAGUGAUAGACCAAUGUGGAUGCUUACCGCAGACAGGAAAUUUUCUGUCAAAUAGUUAUAUAUGCACCUGAUAAAAGAUAAUGUGGGAUUCUCCAGAAAAUUUCUAUGGAAAACCAGAGUGCCUGCGAAAAUUAAAGUCUUUCUAUGGCUUCUUGCUAAGAAAAGUGUCCUUACUAGGGAUAACCUUUUAAGAAGAGGGUGGAAGGGGGAUAAACAUUGUGUGUUGUGUGGUAAAGAUGAAACAAUUGAUCAUCUAUUUUUUUCAUGUUCUGUAGCUAGAAUCAUAUGGGCGCUGGUCGGAUGUGCCUUUGAUCUAAAACAUUAUCCUAGAGAUAUCAAUGAUCGUUUUGGGAACUGGUUAAAAAAAUUCAGACAGAUAACAAAAAGUUGAUCUUGGUUGGCACCUCAGCCCUUUUGUGGGUGAUUUGGAGGUGUAGGAAUGACAUUAUCUUUGAUAGAAAAAAGAUUACUGAUCCCAUGGGGAUUGUGAAAAUAAUAUGUGGUUGGAUUUCUGAUUGGGCUAUUUUGCAGAAAAAGGACCCAAAGGAAAAAAUACUGAUGCUGGGAGCAAAACUCAUCGAACAAGUAGCAAGUGAUGUCUACAAGGCGGCGCAAGGGUGGCGUUUUGGCGUUCUCCGAAUUCAGCAGUGAUGGAAGUGGCUUCUUUUGGUGAAAGAUUCGACCAAGAUGUUUGAAGCAUGGCGUGGGCUGUUUCAGAAGCUAGAUCGCUUAGUAGUAGUUUCGAGGGACUGCUGUUAGGCAGUGGCCUUCCUUGGUUAUAUUUCUUUGCCUGUCUUUGCCCUGAACUUUUCCUGUGUUGUAAUAGGGUCAGUUUAUGAAGUGGAACCUGUCGGAUACUUGCUGGUUUCUUUAAUGGAAAUCAGAAGGGAAACCCUCUUUUGCUCAAAAAAAAAGUUUAGUUGGCAGGCAUAUCAUGGCAAGUUCCCUCGGUUCUUUUUUUCUUCUUGCCAGAAAAUUAGCGAGCUCGCCAACUACUCAUGACAACAUAAAUUACGAUGAAGACCGUUCCAUUUGCCAUGUCUAAAAAUCUGGCGUCGGAUUUUUAGUAUUCCCGAUAUCAAUUGCACGGAAAAUAUGUGCCAAAUUUGUGCAUGCUUGGUCGAUAAUUCCAUGUAUUACCCUAUUUCUACUUCUAAUAGAGCAGUUGGUAGUCUUCGUCGGUUAAUUUUCGUCCCACCAUUUUCGUCCGGUUUUUUUUCAUAGGUUUUUUUCUAGAUUUUUUUCGCACCACCCCUCCCACGAAGAAAACCAGUACGACGCCCCUCCUCUCGAUCCAGAUGCGACCUCUCUCUUUCCCUCUCUCCGUCGCCGCCCCCAUCUCCCGCUCCGCCGCCGCCCCUACCGCUCCAUCGGCCCGACCUAUUCUUCGGGCGCGACCACAGGAGCAGCUCCACCUCCCUACCCCCUCAUGCAACAGCACUCCAAACCCCCACCACCACGUCCGGCCGCCUCUAGAGUUUCUUACCCUCAAUGCCCCGCCGCGACUUGUGUUCCGGGCAGUGAGGAUGGGAGCGGGUCGGCUGUGUCGCUUAGUGGAUGGAGCGGCUGGGGCAGUGGCGCCACCGGGCUGGGCGGAGGAGAAGGAUGAGUCGUGGUGGUCCGAGACUGGAGGGCAGCGUUGUGCCAGAUCGAGGUAGCAGUAGCCGGAUCCGUGUAGAUCAAGGUUCACCAUCGUGUGAGCCAUGAAAUUUGAGAUUGCCGUCGCAUGGGUCGCCGAUGGCGAACACGCGUAGGUCAUGGACGACCCUCCCUCGCGAGCCACGCAUUCUGGCUCACCACCUCAGGCCGACGCGGUGCCUCCCCGGCGAGGCCGCGACGGCCUCUUCCUCCUCGCAUUGUCUCCGUCCUCCUGCUCAAGCCCGUCGUUGUCGCAUCCUUCGUGGCCUUUUUGUGUGGGCGCACUGCUAGAGGACGAUGUUGAACAUGAAGUGGAGCCCAGCCGGAGCGGUCUGACGCGGUGCAAGAGGAAUGGUCGACGCCAUAGCGUAUCUUCGUGGCCAAGGAGCGGUGGUCGACACCAUCGAGCAGGAGCCAUCGGUCGCCUGCACAUGGGCCGCAUUCUGAACUAAUGCUUUCUGCAACUGCAAUGUUCCCCUCCAUAGCGUAUCUUGUACAGGCAGAAGGAAUGCAGUUCAGUGACCGCGUCGGCUACAACUAGAUCGAUGGCCUGAAGGCUUUUACUGAGAAGAUGAAGAAUGCUAUAGAAUAGUGUCCAGCAACAAAGACUCCUACUACUACCGGUUCGAGAGAGGCUCUACCCUCAGGUGAUUGAUUACUUCAGACAGAUACCAAGAAGUUUAACUGACGGAUUCUGUAGCUCCUUUCCUUUGGAAGGAUUUACUGACGUGCUAGGCAAAUGUGAACUGAUGCAGGAUUCGGCAAGGAAGACCUGCUGUGGAGUCCGAGCAUCGCGUGCAGCACAUCAGCUGCCUGAGAGGGCAGCAACAGCUUUCUUUUCUACGAGAAGAUGAUCAAGGGGGCCGGCGGCCGUUUUGUGGUCAUCCUCAAUGUGUCCAAGCUCGUCCCGCAUCGGUCACAUUAUUGCCGACUCAUCGGUAAGUGUUCAACAAAUUGUCAGGUGCUGAUUUGAAUCCUUGUUCAAUUGCAAGUGGCCUGUAACACAGGGUUGAGUGCACAUUACCAUCACACUGCCAUGUAAACUUUGUUGGUACGCAAUCAAGCUGCUACAGUUCUAUUUAUAGUUUAUUUGGCCAUUUUGUCUUUGUUGUCCAUGGUCAGAUCAUGGUUUAUAGGCUUGAUCAUUAUGAGUCAGUAAAGUGAGAAUGAGCAGCAAUGAUUUAUUUACCUAAUCAUGCCAUCAAGUUUUUAGUAUCACUAUAUUAUUUAUGCUAAUUCUUUCAACAUUACUGUCAUUGUUGAUGACUCUGAAAGGUAAAGAGAAGUGUUAAAGAAUUCAUCUUCCGCUUUGGCAAGAGACCCCGCCGGCUCCGCCGAUGUCUACGCGGUUGUCAUCCUUGACCACUGUUUAGUGCCACUGCCCUGCGGCUUCUAUGACCUCGGUUGGGCUCCUCGUGGCUCCUUCACCCUCCAGCUGCAGGUGUGCUUCUCUGUUUGUGUAGCGCACGUACAAGUGCACCGUUGGGGCGUCAAUCAGGUGUUCAGCGGCAUGUCGAAGCAACUCUCUGGCCAGAACCACAACUAUGUGCGCUCCAGGUAAUGCAAUCUGUCAAUUGGGUUACACUAGGAGGAAGAGAUGUGCACAAGAACUUUCCUUCCUAGGUGGUUGCCGGUCUUCUGGAUUGGUUUGGCUGCUAUAAAAAAGUAGAACCAGUUCCACCAAAAUAGAUAGUUUAUUUGUAUCAACAGCUGACUUUUAUGUGCAAUCCUACGGAAUGGUGAGCAAAAGCCAUUUGGCGGGAUAACAGUAAUAUUGUGAAACCUUGGCCACCCUGGAUGAAGCUGGAGCCAACACCGAGCCCCCAUAUUGGUAGCUGCAAUAACGGAUGGCCAUGUAUGAAUCUGUCAAUUCUAACUGAUUGUCUUCUAAGGAUAAAUGGAACUGCUACAUUUCCUCUCUCCAGCAAACUAUUAGACCCUGCUUGUAACUAUUUUUCAUCUUGGUGUGAUUUAUAAGGGAGGCCAUGCCAUUAGUUUUUUGUUAUUACAUGCCGUGAUGACCCUUAUUCAUUGAUGUAUAGUGUUGUAUGUGGUUAAUUCCCUAAUACGGUAGUCACACUUCUCCAGAUUUUCCUUGGUCAGAAAUCUGACUUUUGGACUGAUUGUAGUCAAUCUGAAUUAGUGAGGUUCUUUUUUCCAACUGUCCAUGUUCAGUUAUCCACAUUAUCAUGCAUUUUCUUUGGUUUAAAGAUGUCACGAUGUUCACCAAGGCAGAGAAGAAAUGUUUUGAAGUUGUCCCUUCAAUUGAAAGAAGUAUGACUUGGUCCUUAGUGCCUAUGCAGACAUGAAAACGGGAGGUCGAGAGGUUUAAAUAUGUCAUGAUGUUUUCCAUUGUAGAUAUCCUGCUUCAGUUACUUGCCUGAUAACUCACAAUUUCAACACUGAAGUUACUAAUUUGUAAGACAUGCCCUCUCUCAUUCAAUGAUGUCCUGAAAUUUUCACACAAAGCUUUGUAAUCUUGCCAAGUAAUAAUGCUAAUUUUUAGAGAACUUCAAAUGGCAUGCCACCAUUUGCAAUGGUUGUGAUGUAGUGAUAAUUAAUAAACUACAGGCCUUCUAAAUAUUCUAAAGUUUCAUAUCUAAGAGCAUAUUAUAUUUCUCGUAAACAACUGCAGUUAAGCUUCUAUCCUCUUCCUGUCUUGAAGGAAUUAUCUGUUGAGUAAGCUACAGUAUCUUUGUUUGACUAGCUAGGCUGUGUUGCAUACAUGUAAAAGGUGAUGCUUCUGUGGCUUCUUCCAUUUGUAUAUGUGUUGAAGCUCUUUGGUAUUUUUUAAGAUAUGAACUCUUUUGUUGUUUGACUAGCACAAGGCUCCAAGAGCCCACAUUUCUGCAUGUAUAUAUUUGUUGUAUAUCCUUUGCUCGUUUGCCGACUAUAAUCAUCAGAAGGUAAUACACGGCAGCUGAAUUCUCUCGAUAGACUUCGCCUUAGUCAUCUGCUGAAGCAAAUUCCGCCUACCUUAUUCCUCGAGAGUUUUUCAACUAAAAUUGCUAUCCGAAAAAAUGAAACCCCAAUAAAACUGAAACUUGCCAUCUAAACAGAAAGUUGCCAUAUUUCACAACUAAAGUUGUCAUAAAAAAACAUCAGGGCGAAAUUGCUUUGUGCCAUAUAUGUGGCACUUAUGAGGGUCCAAAAAAGGAGAAAAGAGGAAAGAUGAAAAGAAUGGAACGAUGAAUGUAGUCACGUGAGGUUUGCUGGCAGAGUGGUUGGUGCAUUGUAGCUCGUAGCAGGAGGUCGCCUGUUAGAGUCGUAGUACGCACUUCUUUUUUGUUUUAAAAAAGAGAAAGAAAAAAGUAGAUGAGUUGGCCCAGCUCAUAGCGUUGCAGGCACCCGUUUGCAAAAUGAGCUAUAACUGGUGCCUGCAGCACCAAAUAGGAAACAUCCUAUUAAUUUCCCCUCCUUGAUUUCAUUAGUGCGCGCGGCCUGUGAAUUUUACCCCAGGCUAUAAAGCCCCUCCAGAUGAAACCCUAUAGGUGUAGUAUGACCCUUAAUAGUGUAUCCUUGUAAAAGUCAGUGUGUUGGGUUAUUUUUUUGGUGUGGUUAGAGAACUAGACUCCAUUUUGCACGAGGGUUUGAGUUUUUCCUAAACCUUUGAGAGGCAGAGCCAUGGAAAUAUUUUGUGCUCUCAUUCCUCUGGAUGGAAGCUCUAACUUUUCCUCUGUGCUUCCAAUAAGCUACUUUCUUCGAGAUUGUGCAAUGAAGGAUUUUGAUGGUAAGGGAUCAUAGAGCCUGGGGUGACUAGCAUUAAGAUAGGAAGGCGGUUGCCGCCCUUGUCCCUUGUUGCUGGGUUGCCACGGUGGCGUCAAUCACUGGCUCAUUUAGAACAAGAGUUAGUGGUUUUUUUAUAAGGGUGAUGGUUGAGAGUAAGCGGGACGGGUGUUGGGAUUGGUCUGUUGCAUGCAUGAAAUUAUUUCCCCGCUUUAGAAAAUAUGGCAAAUUGUGUUUCAUUAGAGAUUGAUUUGCAGCAAAUUGCAUGAGCGGGUGGUUCAUGCAUUUUUCAUCAAGUCGUACAUUUUUCUGGUUAUGACAUAACGGUAAAUGUAUUGGUUGGUUGCUUCAAGACUCAAUAACAGACACUAUGAAAUGACUCAAGAGAGAUCAGAUCUACCUUCUUGGCUGGGGGCGUUAUGGGUGGCGCACGCCUCGCCCCCCUUGAUGGCGGUAGUGGAUGGGCACGAACACGAGGGGGGAUCAGGGCGGAGAGCAGGGUGGUUGGCUGGGGACUCAUCCUUGGCAGUUCGUGGGAGAGUACGGUGUGAAGAAGAGAGGGCGCAAUGGCGAAGGUGAGGUAGGCGUCAUCCGGUUAUAAAGGAGAGGAAUCCAAUGAGAAAUGUCCCGCUACGGCGGAAACCGGGCAGAAAGUGAAAGGUCCGACAAAAAGGGAAGGGUGCGUCGUGGAGAAAAAGGAAGGGUGUGUUGUGGGGUGAGGUUUUUUUGUUGGGACCGUGGGUUGAAGAUAACACGGUGGAUAGUACAAACAACCACAUCANNNNNNNNNNNNNNNNNNNNNNNNNNNNNNNNNNNNNNNNNNNNNNNNNNNNNNNNNNNNNNNNNNNNNNNNNNNNNNNNNNNNNNNNNNNNNNNNNNNNNNNNNNNNNNNNNNNNNNNNNNNNNNNNNNNNNNNNNNNNNNNNNNNNNNNNNNNNNNNNNNNNNNNNNNNNNNNNNNNNNNNNNNNNNNNNNNNNNNNNNNNNNNNNNNNNNNNNNNNNNNNNNNNNNNNNNNNNNNNNNNNNNNNNNNNNNNNNNNNNNNNNNNNNNNNNNNNNNNNNNNNNNNNNNNNNNNNNNNNNNNNNNNNNNNNNNNNNNNNNNNNNNNNNNNNNNNNUGGACUGUCCAGAGGGUUGGAUUUUAGGAGCCCGCGGGCCGCCCGAAUGAUGUCCAAACAUGACCGCACAUAUAAUAAAGAAAUGAAUUUCGAUCUUAAAGAUGACCUUAAUCAUUUAUUUUAUUUAUUUACAUGCAUUAUAGCCCGUAGCAACGCACGGGGUUCUACUAGUAAAUGUAAGUGCACGAGUAGCUGUCGCACGGAAAUUAUUGUCGUCACGGCCGAGAGUGCAAUGCACGCAGUCACUGCAAGAUCACGGACGGAAUCAACACGGCCUGUUAUGCGUAGGCUGGCAGCAUGCAUGCGCUCGUUGCGCAGGACAAAGUUCACGGUGGGCAUGCAUGCAUGGAGUUCGUCCUGUGUGUCGACCCGUGUGUCGUCGUACGCGUACAAAUGUCCUGAUCGGACAAGGCCGGUCGACGUCGACGCCCAUUUACCCUCGAAUCUCGUGUGCAAAGUCUCGCGCGCGCACUAGCCAACUAGCGAUCGAGUUUACGACCUCUGGAUCGAUCGUGCUCCCCACGUCCCCGGGCCAUGCCGCUUGAUUUAAACCACCACGCAGGCACCGCAUCCCCCGGCCUCUCCAACGAGUCUCAACUUCCUUAUCCAACGAUCCGCUGGACGGGACUAACUAGGCUGUCACAUCCCUUCCAUCUACCACAACCAACGGCGUCGGCGAUAAUGGCCGCCUUGCCGCAGCUGCUUCUGAUCCUCUUCCCCGCGGAGGUUGCCGUCCUGACCCUGCUGCUGGCCUCGGCGCCGGGAGCGCGGGCUCACGCCUCCUCGUCCUCGUCAUCGGCGACGUACCGCUGCGGCUGGUGCCCGCGCAGGUCCACCGCGUCCAUCCUCCCUCCCGGCGCCGGCGCACUGACCGGUGCCGCCUGCGGGUAUGGUGGCCAGGCGGCGGAGAUGGCCGUCGACGGGGGGCUCCACAUUGCGGCCGUCAGCGCCAGUUUCUUCCGCGGUGGCCGGGCCUGCGGCGCCUGCUACCAGCUGAUGUGCAGGGGACGGAGCGCGUGCGCGGCGGGCGGCGUCAAGGUCGUCGUCGUCGCCGACGUGGCAGAGACGAACAUGACCGGUGGUGGUGCCGGUGGGCGGUUUCUGCUCACCAAGGACGCCUUCGCCGCCUUGGCGACGCCAGACCGUAACGCCGAGCUCGCGGACGCGGACGUCGACGUGGACUUCAGGAGGAUUCCCUGCGUGUACAAGAGCAAGAACUUGGCGGUUAAAGUGGAGGAGACGAGCAGCAGGGACCGGGGUUACCUCGCCCUCCGCUUCCUCUACCAGGGCGGCCAGACCGACAUCGCCGCCGUCGAGGUCGCGCAGGCGGUCACCGGUUCCAGCGGCACCAACAACGACGCAGCACCGUUGCAGACAUCCUGGCAGUACAUGACCCGGCGCGAGGCGUCCCCGUCGAUGUGGCGCACGUCGCGCGUGCCGGCCGGUCUGCUGCAGCUCCGGCUUGUGGUCACCGCGGGCUCCGGCGGCAAGUGGCUGCGCGCCGACGGGGCGGUGCUCCCCGCGAAUUGGCAGCCCGGCGCGGUCUACGACACCGGCCUGCGCGUCACCGACGUCGCCGCAAGCACCUGCGGCGGCGCCUCCUGUUCCUCCACGGACGAGGGCGACGACGCCGAGCAGCUCCGAUGACACGCUUCCCGGCAUGCAUGAUGCAUCCACCACGGACCGAUCGAUGGUCCAUUGGAGCCGGCCCGCACGUCAACGGCGACGCCGCGCAUGCAGAUCUGCACCGGCCAGCCGCCGGAAUAUCGGUCGAUGCUGCAUGUACACUGUACAGAGACGUGUACAUCGCAACGUACGACAUGCAUGCAUGUGUGCACGGCCGACGACGAGUUCCGGUUAGGACAAAACCUCCAUGGUCCCGCUCUAAACAGAGGAUGUUGGCGCGUAGCUUCACGUGUGGAGGGAAGGGACUAAUGCAGAGAAGAACAUGUAGAUGGCUCUGUUCAGGUCUUGGAAUCACAUGACAGCACUACUGUUUUGGCUGCUCGUCCUCUUCCUCUUUGGAAUAGUAGGAGAGUAUUAUUGUAGGUUGAUUGCAUGGGCUGAUUAAGAUUGAUCAGUUGCCGACUAAGACUAAGUUAACUGUAUUGCAUUAUGUUGUGCUGUGUUUAUUUCAUACUUUUUUCGCAAGAAAUUAAUGAAAACAAUUGAGAAAAACUAGAUACCCCGCAUGUUGCUGAGGGAUGUUUCGCAUCAAGUAUGAAUGAGAUGUUGUGGCACAGUUGAGCAGAUUGCAAUCAGACAAAUACUCAUGAACUAUCGAUAUGCUCGGUUGUUUACCGAGCUCAAAAUAAUAUUUGCAUCUAUAAUGAACAAACUGAAAGAGUUUCUUGUUGUGCAAAUCCAUACAUCAAACUAAAAGAGGUAUGAACCAAAUCCACACAUCAAAACACUUGCCGAAAAUCAUUUCUUGCCUAUCCGGUUGUGGGCCAAUAGUAAACUCUCCUAAUAAAGAAUGAACAUAUCGCCGGACAAAGGAAAUUGUAUAUGAGAUUAACUGAAUCCUCGACAUCGUGGUUCAGACCGAUAAAAAUCUACGAUGAAUGUGUGGGAGUUCAUAUGGGCAUCCAGGUUCCGCUAUUGAUUAUUGAUCCGAGAGGUGUCUCGGUCAUGUCGGCAUGUUCUCGAACCCGUAGGAUCACACACUUAAGGUUCUCGGUAACGCUAGGGUAGUAUUGGGAUAUUCAUACUGACGAGACUGAAUAUUGUUUGGAGUCUCAGAUGGGAUCCGAGACAUCAUGAGGAGCUCCGGAAUGGUUCAGAGGUAAAGAUUUAUAUAUGGAAAGUGUUUUUCAGGGUUUCGAAAAAGUUAGGGAAUUUUUUAUGGAGUACCGAGAAGGUUCAGGGGUUCCACCGUGGGGCCCAAUGACCUGGGAAGGGCCCACAUGGACCGAGGAGUGGGCCAACAACCCACAUGGGUUGGUCGCACCAGCUCCCAAGGCCCAUGUCAUUUAAAUCUAGAGAUAAGGUCUUACAUCUAAAUUUAAAGGGUUAAAUCUAGAGAUAAUAUCUUAUCUCUAAAUUUAAAAGGAUUUCUCCCUUGUGGCUGGCCCUAGGAGGGUUUUGGCAGCCCCUCCCUGCCCCCUAGCCUAUAUAAAGAGAGGGGAGGUGCAUGGGGACGGCGACCCAUCCAUUGCUAGCCUGCCUCUCCCAUCUCCCUCCACCUCCUCUCCAGUACAAGCUUAGCGAAGCCCUGACGGAAUUUCGCUGCCACCACCACAACCACGCCAUCAUGUUGGUUCAGAUCCCAUCUACCUCUUAUCCCUUGCUUGCUAAAUCAAAAAGGAGGAGACGUCACCGAGCCGUACGUGUGCACAUCUCGGAGGUGCCGUUCGUGCGGUACUCAGAUCGGAUUGGAUCAUGAAGGAGUACGACUACGCCAACCACGAUCUCUAGAUCGUUAACGCUUUCAGUCUAUAAGGGUAUAUAGACAUACUCCACUCUCGUUGUUAGCAUCUUCAUACAUUAGAUCUUGGGUGUUCCGUAGGAUUUUUUUGUUUUCCAUGCAACUUCCCCAUCAGUGAGUAAUCAAAAUUAGCUGCAAUCUCCGCUCCUUUCCUAUUCUGCGACGUUGGUGUGUACACGGGUGGGAAUUUUCAUGCAGUACGUGUUGGGGAACGUAGCAGAAAUUCAAAAUUUUCUACGCAUCACCAAGAUCAAUCUAUGGAGUAAUCUAGCAACGAGGGAAGGAGAGUGCAUCUACAUACCCUUGUAGAUCGCUAAGCGGAAGCGUUCAAGUGAACGGGGUUGAUGGAGUCGUACUCGUCGUGAUCCAAAUCACCGAUGAUCCUAGUGCCGAACGGACGGCACCUCCGUGUUCAACACACGUACAGCCCGGUGACGCCUCCUACGCCUUGAUCCAGUAAGGGGAGAAGGAGAGGUUGGGGAAGACUCCAUCCAGCAGCAGCACGACGGCGUGGUGGUGGUGGAGGAGCGUGGUACUCCAGCAGGGCUUCGCCAAGCACCGCAAGAGACGAGGAGGGAGAGGGGUAGGGCUGCGCCAAGAAGGAGAUGUUCUCGUGUUUCUGGCAGCCCAAAACCCCCACUAUAUAUAGGGGAAAGGGAGGGGUUGCGCCCCCACCUAGGUUUCCACCCCUAGGGGUGGCGGCCAGCCCUAGAUCCCAUCUAGGGGGCGGCCAAGGGGGGAGAGAGGGGGGCGCACCACUAGGUGGGCCUUAGGCCCAUCUGAGCCUAGGGUUUCCCCUUUUUCCAUUCUCUCUUCGCCUUGGGCCCUGGUGGGGGGGUGCCCAGCCCACCUGGGGCUGGUCCCCUCCCACACUUGGCCCAUGCAGCCCUCCGGGGCUGGUGGACCCACUUGGUGGACCACCGGGACCCUCCCGGUGGUCCCGGUACAUUACCGAUAAAACCCGAAACUUUUCCGGCGACCAAAACAGGACUUCCCAUAUAUAAAUCUUUACCUCCGGACCAUUCCGGAACUCCUCGUGACGUCCGAGAUCUCAUCCGGGACUCUGAACAACAUUCGGUAACCACGUAUAUCUAUUCCCUAUAACCCUAGCGUCAUCGAACCUUAAGUGUAUAGACCCUACGGGUUCGGGAACCAUGCAGACAUGACCAAGACAACUCUCUGGUCAAUAACCAACAGCGGGAUUUGGAUACCCAUGUUGGCUCCCACAUGUUCCACGAUGAUCUCAUCGGAUAAACCACGAUGUCAAGGAUUCAAUCAAUCCCGUAUACAAUUCCCUUUGUCUAGUGGUACGAUACUUGCCCGAGAUUCGAUCGUCGGUAUCCCGAUACCUUGUUCAAUCUCGUUACCGGCAAGUCUCUUUACUCGUUCCGUAACACAUCAUCCCGUGAUCAACUUCUUGGUCACAUUGUGCACAUUAUGAUGAUGUCCUACCGAGUGGGCCCAGAGAUACCUCUCCGUUACACGGAGUAACAAAUCCCAGUCUCGAUUCGUGCCAACCCAACAGACACUUCGGAGAUACCUGUAGUGUACCUUUAUAGCCACCCAGUUACGUUGUGACGUUUGGCACACCCAAAGCACUCCUACGGUAUCCGGGAGUUGCACAAUCUCAUGGUCUAAGGAAAUGACACUUGACAUUAGAAAAGCUUUAGCAUACGAACUACACGACCUUUGUGCUAGGCUUAGGAUUGGGUCUUGUCCAUCACAUCAUUCUCCUAAUGAUGUGAUCCCGUUAUCAAUGACAUCCAAUGUCCAUGGUCAGGAAACCGUAACCAUCUAUUGAUUAACGAGCUAGUCAACUAGAGGCUUACUAGGGACAUGUUGUUGUCUAUGUAUCCACACAUGUAUCUGAGUUUCCUAUCAAUACAAUUCUAGCAUGGAUAAUAAACGAUUAUCAUGAACAAGGAAAUAUAAUAAUAACCAAUUUAUUAUUGCCUCUAGGGCAUAUUUCCAACAGUCUCCCACUUGCACUAGAGUCAAUAAUCUAGUUCACAUCGCCAUGUGAUUAACACUCACAGGUCACAUCGCCAUGUGACCAACAUCCAAGAGUUUACUAGACUCAAUGAUCUAGUUCACAUCACUAUGUGAUAAACACUCAAAGAGUUCUGGGUUUGAUCAUGUUAUGCUUGUGAGGGAGGUUGUAGUCAACGGGUCUUGCCAUAUUCAGAUCCCUAUGUAUUUUGCAAAACUUUAUAUCGUAGAUGCUGCUGCCACGUUCCACUUGGAUCUAUUCCAAAUUUUUGCUCCAUUAUACGUAUCCGAUAUCUCUACUCAGUGCUAUCCGAAUAGGUGUUAAGCUUGCAUCGACGUAACUCUUUACGUCGAACUCUUUAUCACCUCCAUAACCGAGAAACAUUUCCUUAUUCCUCUAAGGAUAAUUUUGACCGCUAUCUGGUGAUCUACUCCUAGAUCACCUUUGUACCCUCUUGCCAGACAUGUGGCAAGGCACACAUCAGGUGCGGUACUUCAGCAUGGCAUACCGUAUAGAGCCUAUGACAAAAGCAUAGGGGACGACCUUCGUCCUUUCUCUUUCUUAUGCCGUGGUCAAGCUUUAAGUCUUACUCAACUUCACACCUUACAACUCAGGUAAGAACCCCUUCUUUGACUGAUCUAUUUUGAACUCCUUCAAAAACAUGUCAAGAUGUGCGUUCUUUGAAAGUACCAUCAGGCGUCUUGAUCUAUCUCUAUAGAUCUUGAUGCCCAAUGUGUAAGCAGCUUUAUCUAGGUCUUCCUUUGAAAAUCACUCUUCAAACAACCGUUUAUGCUUUCCAGAAAUUCUACAUCAUUUCGGAUCAACAAUAUGUCAUCCACAUAUACUUAUCAGAAAUGUUGUAGUGCUCCCACUCACUUUCUUGUAAAUACAAGUUUCUAGCAAACAUUGUAUAAACCUAAAAGCUUUGAUCACUCCAUUAAACAUAUAUUCCGAUUGCGAGAUGCUUGCUCUAGUCCAUAGAAGGAUUGCUGGAGCCAGCAUACCUUUUAGCGUCCUUAGGAUCGACAAAACCUUUUAUUGUAUCACAUACAACUUUUCUUACGAAAACUUGGUAAGAAAUCUUGUUUUGACAUCCAUCUGUAAGAUUUCAUAAUCAAAAAAUACAGCUAAUGCUAUCAUGAUUCCGACAGACUUAAGCAUCGCUACGGGUGAGAAAUUCUCAUCGUAGUCAACUCCUUGAACUUGUGAAAAAAUUCUUUCCCACAAGUCGAGCUUCUUAGACGGUAACAUUACCUCCCACGUCCGUCUUCUUCUUAAAUAUCCAUUUAUCUCAAUGGCUUGCCGAUCAUCGGGCAAGUCCAUCAAAGUCUAUACUUUGUUCUGAUAUAUGGAUCCUAUCUCGGAUUUCAUGGCUUCUAACCAUUUGUCGGAAUACGGGCCCACCAUCGCUUCUCCAUAGCUCGUAGGUACAUUGUUGUCUAACAACAUGAUAUCUAAGACAGGAUUACCGUACCACUCAGGAGUAGUACAUAUCCUUGUCGACCUACGAGGUUCGAUAGCAACUUGAUCCGAAGCUUCAUGAUCACUAUCAUUAACUUCCUAUUCAACAGACGUAGGUGCCACAGAAAACAUCUUUCUAUGUUGCAUCAUUCUCUGGUUGAAAUAAAGGUUCGACAACCUCAUCAAGUUCUAUCUUCCUCCCACUCAAUUCUUUCGAGAGAAACUCCUUCUCGAGAAAGGACCCGUUCUUAGCGACAAACAAUUUGCCCUCGGAUCCGAGAUAGAAGGUAUACCCAACUGUCACCUUUGGGUAUCCUAUGAAGAUGUGUUUGUCCGCUUUUGGGUUCGAGCUUCUCCUGCUAAAGCCUUAAGCAUCGCAACCCCAAACAUUAAGAAACGACAACUUUGGUUUCUUGCCAAACCAAUGUUCAUACGACGUCAUCUCAACGGACUUAUAUGGUGUCCUAUCUAAAGUGAAUGCAGCUGUCUAUAACGCAUAACCUCAAAAUAAUAGCGGUAGAUCGGUAAGAGACAUCAUAGAUCGCACCAUAUCUCAUAGGGUUUGAUUACGAUGUUCGGACACACCAUUACCCUGUGGUGUUCCAGGUGACUUCAACUGUGAAACAAUUCCACAAUGUCUUAAGUGUUUGCCAAUACUCAUAACUCAGAAAUUCUCAUUGAUCAGAUCGUAGGAAUUUGAUCUUCUUGUUAUGAUGAUUCUUAACUUCACUCUGAAAUCGCUUGAACUUUUCAAACGUUUCAGACUUGUGCUUCAUUAAGUAAAUAUACCUAUAUCUACUCAAAUCGUCAAUGAAGAUGAGAAAAUAGCGAUAUCCACUGCACGCUUCAAUUCUCAUUGGAUCACACGCAUCAGCAUGUAUGAUUUCCAACAAGUCACUUGCCCGUUUCAUCGUACCUGAAAACGGGGUCUUAGUCAUCCUGCCCAUGAGGCAUGGCUCACAUGUGUCAAGUGAUUCAAAAUCAAGUGACUCCAAACAUCCAUCGACAUGGAGUUUCUUCAUGCAUCUUACGCCAAUAUGACCUAAGCGGCAGUGCCACAAGAAAGUGGUACUAUCAUUAUUAACUCUACAUCUUUUGGCGUGGACAUGUGUAUUACCACGACCGAGAUUCAAUGAACCAUUCACAUAGGGUGCAUGACCAUGAAAGGUAUCAUUCAUGUAAACAGAAUAACUAUUAUUCUCUAACUUAAAUGAAUGACCGUCUUGCAAUGAACAUGAUCUAAUCAUACUCAUGCUCAACGUAGACACCUGAUAACAUUUAUCUAGGUUCAAUACUAAUCCCGAAGGCAGAUGGAGCAUGCGAUGGUGAUCUCAUCAACUUUGGAAACACUUCCAACACACAUCGUCACCUCGCCCUUAGCCAGUCUCCGUUUAGUCCGUAGCUUUUGCUUCAAGUCACCAAUAAUAGCAACUGAACCGGUAUCCAAUACCCAGGUGCUACCAGGAGUACUAGUGAGGUACACAUUAAUAACACGUAUAUACUUUGUUGAAGUUGCCAGCCUUCUUAUCUGCCAUGCAUUUGGGGUAAUUCCGCUACCAGUGUCCGUUCCCCUUACAAUAGAAGCACUUAGUCUCGGGUUUGGUUCAACCUUGGGUUCCUUCACUAGAGCGGCAACUGAUUUGCCAUCCAUGAAGUUUCCCUUCUAGCCCUUGCCCUUCUUGAAACCAGUGGUCUUGUUAAACCAUCAACACUUGAUGCUCCUUCUUGAUUUCUACCUUCUGCGGUCUUAAGCACCGCGAUCAGCUCCGGGAUCAACUCCAUCCCUUGCAUGUCAUAGUUCAUCACGAAGAUCUAGUAGCUUAGUGAUAGUGGCUAGAGAACUCUAUUAAUCACUAUCUUAUCUGGAAGUUUAACUCCCACUUGAUUUAAGUGAUUAUAGUACCCAGACAUUCUGAGCACAUGCUCACUAGCUGAGCUAUUCUCCUCCAUCUUGUUGGCAAAAGAACUUGUCAGAGGUCUCACACCUCUCAACACGGGCAUGAGCCUGAAAUCCCAAUUUCAGCUCUUGGAACAUCUCAUAUGUUCUAUGGCGUUUAAAACGUCAUUGGAAUCCCGUUUCUAAGCCGUAAAGUAUGAUGCACUAAACUAUCAAGUAGUCAUCAGGAUGUGUCUGUCAGGUGUUCACAACAUCCACAGACGACGUGGUAGGGGUUUGCACAUCGAGUGGUGCAUCAAAGACGUAAGCCUUUUGUGUAGCAGUGAGGACACUCCUCGGACUACGGACCUAGUCCGUAUCAUUGCUUACAAUAUCUUUCAACUUAAUCUUUCUCUUGGAACAUAUUGAAACAGGGAGCUACAACAUGAGCUAUUUAUCUACAACAUAUUUGCAAAGACAAUUUAGACUAUGUUCAUGAUAAUUGAGUUCAUUUAAUGAACUCCCACUCAGAUAGACAUCCCUCUAGUCAUCUAAGUGAAACAUGAUCCGAGUCAACUAGGCCGUGUCCGAUCAUCACGUGAGACGGACUAGUCAACAUCGGUGAACAUCUUCAUAUUGAUCGUAUCUUCUAUACGACUCAUGCUCGACCUUUCGGUCUUCCGUGUUCCGAGGCCAUGUCUAUACAUGCUAGGCUCAUCAAGUCAACCUAAGUGUUUUUGCUGUGUAAAUCUGGCUUACACCCGUUGUAUUCGAACGUUAGAAUCUAUCACACCCGAUCAUCACGUGGUGCUUCGAAACAACGAACCUUCGCAAUGGUGCACAGUUAGGGGGGACACUUUUCUUGAAAUUUUAGAGAGGGGUCAUCUUAUUUAAGCUACCGUCAUUCUAAGAAAAUAAGAUGUAAAACAUGAUAAACAUCACAUGCAAUCAAAUAGUGACAUGAUAUGGCCAAUAUCAUUUUUGCUCCUUUUGAUCUCCGUCUUCGGGGCUCCAUGAUCAUCGUUGUCACCGGCAUGACACCAUGAUCUACAUCAUCAUGAUCUCCAUCAUAGUGUCUUCUUGAAGUUGUCUCGUCAUCUAUUACUUCUACUACUAUGGCUAACGCUUUAGCAAUAAAGUAAAGUAAUUACAUGACGUUUAAGUUGACACGCAGGUCAUAAAUAAAUUAAGACAACUCCUAUGGCUCAUGCCGGUUGUCAUACUCAUUGACAUGCAAGUCGUGAUUCCUAUUACAAGAACAUGAUCAAUCUCAUACAUCACAUAUAUCAUUCAUCACAUCCUUUUGGCCAUAUCACAUCACAAGGCAUAUGCUGCAAAAACAAGUUAGACGUCCUCUAAUUGUUGUUGCAAGUUUUUACGUGGCUGCUAUAGGUUUCUAGCAAGAACGUUUCUUACCUACGCGAAAACCACAACGUGAUAUGCCAAUUUCUAUUUACCCUUCAUAAGGACCCUUUUCAUCGAAUCCGAUCCGACUAAAGUGGGAGAGACAGACACCCGCUAGCCACCUUAUGCAACUAGUGCAUGUCAGUCGGUGGAACCAGUCUCACGUAAGAGUACGUGUAAGGUCGGUCCGGGCCGCUUCAUCCCACGAUGCCGCCGAAUCAAGAUAAGACUAGUAACAGCAAGUAAAUUGACAAAAUCGACGCCCACAAUGGCUUUGUGUUCUACUCGUGCAUAGAAACUACGCAUAAACCUGGCUCAUGAUGCCACUGUUGGGGAACAUAGCAGAAAUUCAAAAUUUUCUACGCAUCACCAAGAUCAAUCUAUGGAGUAAUCUAGCAACGAGGGAAGGAGAGUGCAUCUACAUACCCUUGUAUAUCUCUAAGCGAAAGCGUUCAAGUGAACGGGGUUGAUGGAGUCAUACUCGUCGUGAUCCAAAUCACCGAUGAUCCUAGUGCCGAACGGACGACACCUUCGUGUUCAACACACGUACAGCCCGGUGACGUCUCCUACGCCUUGAUCCAGCAAGGGGAGAAGGAGAGGUUGGGGAAGACUCCAUCCAGCAGCAGCAUGACGGCGUGGUGGUGGUUGAGGAGUGUGGUACUCCAGCAGGGCUUUGCCAAGCACCGCAAGAGACGAGGAGGGACAGGGGUAGGGCUGCGCCAAGAAGGAGAUGUUCUCGUGUUUCUGGCAGCCCAAAAUCCCCACUAUAUAUAGGGGAAAGGGAGGGGCUGCGCCCCCACCUAGGUUUCCACCCCUAGGGGUGGCGGCCAGCCCUAGAUCCCAUCUAGGGGGCGGCCAAGGGGGGAGAGAGGGGGGGCGCACCACUAGGUGGGCCUUAGGCCCAUCUGAGCCUAGGGUUUCCCCUUUUUCCCUUCUCUCUUCGCCUUGGGCCCUGGUGGGGGGCGCACCGGCCCACCUGGGGCUGGUCCCCUCCCACACUUGGCCCAUGCAGCCCUCUGGGGCUGGUGGCCCCACUUGGUGGACCACCGGGACCCUCCCAGUGGUCCCGGUACAUUACCGAUAAAACCCGAAACUUUUCCGGCGACCAAAACAGGACUUCCCAUAUAUAAAUCUUUACCUCCGGACCAUUCCGUCACUCCUCGUGACGUCCGGGAUCUCAUCCGGGACUCCGAACAACAUUCAGUAACCAUGUAUAUCUAUUCCCUAUAACCCUAGCGUCAUCGAACCUUAAGUGUGUAGACCCUACGGGUUCGGGAACCAUGCAGACAUGACCGAGACAACUCUCCGGUCAAUAACCAACAGCGGGAUCUGGAUACCCAUGUUGGCUCCCACAUGUUCCACGAUGAUCUCAUCGGAUGAACCACGAUGUCAAGGAUUCAAUCAAUCCCGUAUACAAUUCCCUUUGUCUAGCGGUACGAUACUUGCCUGAGAUUCGAUCGUCGGUAUCUCGAUACCUUGUUCAAUCUCGUUACCGGCAAGUCUCUUUACUCGUUCUGUAACACAUCAUCUCGUGAUCAACUCCUUGGUCACAUUGUGCACAUUAUGAUGAUGUCCUACCGAGUGGGCCCAGAGAUACCUCUCCGUUACACGGAGUAACAAAUCCCAGUCUCGAUUCGUGUCAACCCAACAGACACUUUCGGAGAUACCUGUAGUGUACCUUUAUAGCCACCCAGUUACAUUGUGGCGUUUGGCACACCCAAAGCACUCCUACGGUAUCCGGGAGUUGCACAAUCUCAUGGUCUAAGGAAAUGACACUUGACAUUAGAAAAGCUUUAGCAUACAAACUACACGAUCUUUGUGCUAGGCUUAUGAUUGGGUCUUGUCCAUCACAUCAUUUUCCUAAUGAUGUGAUCCCGUUAUCAAUGACAUCCAAUGUCCAUGGUCAGGAAACCGUAACCAUCUAUUGAUUAACGAGCUAGUCAACUAGAGGCUUACUAGGGACAUGUUGUUGUCUAUGUAUCCACACAUGUAUCUGAGUUUCCUAUCAAUACAAUUCUAGCAUGGAUAAUAAACGAUUAUCAUGAACAAGGAAAUAUAAUAAUAAUCAAUUUAUUAUUGCCUCUAGGGCAUAUUUCCAACAGUACGCUCCCGUCGAUUAUUGGCCUAAAGGAUUAACUAUUGAAUAAAUAGCAAGAGAAUUAGGUGUCGUGGCAGUUAUGGGCCUAACUAAACGAUGCUAUUUUUAUGUCUUAGGCAAACAAAAUUAGAGCCAACCGCUGAUUACCUAGGUCCCAAAGAUUCAACAUGCAUGUCGAGUAAACUGUGACGGAGGGAGUAACAAGAAUUGAAGUAUAAAGAGAGCAUCAAAAAGCAUGUAACAAGCACAUUUAAGUCUAAUCCACUUUCUAUGCAUAGGCAUCUUAUAAGUAAAGAAAAUAUUAAGACAAAAAAUAUCUAGCAUAUGCAAGGAAUGUGAAUGAAACAUUGACAAUCUCAACAUAAUGAGAUGUAAUUUAGGAACAUGAUUUUUUAUAACAAUGCUCGCCUCUCUCGAAAUAACUACAUGUAGGAUCAUAAUCGAAUACAACAAUAUAUCCAUCAUAUAAAAAAAUUUCUUCAUGAUCCACAUGUAUACAAAAUCUACAAUCUUCCAAGAUAGUGGGAUUAAUAUCAACCAAAGUCAUGACCUCUCCAAACCCACUUUUAUAAAAAAAUCAUAAGAUUUGAUCAUUAUCUAAAGUAGUGGGAUCAUUGUUACAUAAAGUUGAUGCUCUUACAAACCCACUUUAAAUAGUAUUGCAAACAGUAUUAUCAAUAACAUAUUCAAUAUGAGGCUCAAAUAAACUCUCGAUAUCAGAAGAAGCAUCAUAAUUAUCACACAAUCAUGAUCAUUACAAUAAGUAGUAGGCAUAACAAAAUGAUCAUCAAUAGUGCCUACCGACAUAGUUUCACAAUAAAAAGCAAUAUUUUCAUCAAUUGUAUCAUAUUCAUCACUUGAGUCAUAAGAAUUAUCAUAUUUUUAUUUUAUAACUUCUUCAUUAGUAGGGGGACUAAAAAUAUCAUACACAUCAAACUCAUCAUCCCCAAACUUGUAGCUUUGCAUAUCAUAAGCACAAUUGACAUUCAUGGAAUUCAUACUAGCAUCAUUGAAAUCAUGCUUUUCAUUCAAGGAACUAUCAUGAAUCACUCUGUAAAAUUCUUCUUUUAACACUUCAUAACAAAGGCAAGGGGUGGUCACUCCCCUUGUUCUUGCUAGUUGCAUGUAUCAAAUCUGGUAAUGGUAGAUACAAUAAUAUAAGUAAAGUAGAACAACAAAAAAUUGUAAGAUCGCUUGAAUAUAACUAAGAAUGAACUCGAGGGCCAUAGACUCACUAGAGGCAUCUCUCUCAGAAAUGGCAUCGGUGGGUAAACAUUUUUUUUGUUGGGAAAUUAACAAAAAAGCACAUAGUUAUGAUGAUUAUCCAAAGCAUGGUCAAUAUAUAGGCAUUACGUCUGUGACAAGUAGACCGUUAAACUUAUCGACAUCUACUACUAUUACUCCACCCCAAUACCGCUAUCCAGCAUGCAUCUCAAAUUAUUAAGUUCAUGACAAACAGAGUAAUGCAUUAAGCAAGAUGACAUAAUGUAGAUAGAAUAAGGGCAACUAAUAUGACCAAACCCCGUUGUUUUACCCUUAGUAGCAACAAUACAAAUGUGUGCCUCACCCACCUGUCACAGAGCAAGACUAACCGCAAGAUUGAACCUACUACUAAGCACCUCUCCCACUGAAGAUAAAUCAAUCUACUUGGCCAAAGAAGACAGAUAGAUUGGAGAGAAAUACAAGGUUAUGAAACUACACAAUCAAAGAGAUCUCAAAGGACAUAAAUAAUAUCAACGAAUAAUAUGAUCAUUAACCCAUAAUUCAUCGGAUCCCAACAAACACACCGCAAAGAUUACAUAGAAUACAUCUCAGAGGAGAUCAUUGUAUUGAAGAUCAAAAGAGAGAUAACAAGCCAUCUAGGUACUACUAUGGACCUAUAGGUCUUGAAGAAACUACUCACACAUCAUCACGGAGGCAACAAGGUUGAUGAAGAUAGCCUCCCCAAUGCUUCCUUCCUUUGACAAAGUACCAGAAAAGGCUUCCAGAUGGGAUCGCGGAAGAACAGAGGCUUGCGGUGACGAAAUAAUUGUUUGUCUCACUUCAGGUUUUUUUGGAAUACAUGGGAAUUUAUUGGCCAAGAAGGGCAAAUGGAGUCAUGAGCGGCCCACAAGCCAGGGUGGCACACCUUACCUCUAGGGUGUGCCCCCUUCCUUGUGGCCGCCUCGUGGGUAUUCUGGUCCUUCCUUCAAACUUCCAUGGUCUCUUAUUAUCAAGAAAAAAUCAUCAAAAAGUUUCAUCGUGUUUGGACUUCUGUAGGUAUAGUUUUCCUGCGAAACAAAAACAUGCAGAAAAUAGGAACUGGCACUGGGCACUAAAUUAAUAGGUUAGUCCAUAAAAAUAAUAUAAAAGUAAUAAUAUAAUAGCAUGAAACAAUAAAAAGCUAUAGAUAUGUUGGAGACGUAUCAAUACAUGUAUUGUAUUGUUGCUACUAAGGGUAAAGAUGGUUUCUUUUAUCACAAUUGGAUGAUAUUUUUACCGGCUAUAUUAUUUCAUCAUGCUUAUUGCAAUGCUUUGUUUGUCAUGGAUUUAAUACUUCGAUAUUCAUUCUGGAUAGCGGUCUUGGGUUGAAGUAUUAGUUGUAGAUGUAGUUGGAUAAUACUCUACAUAUCACGGGCGUAAUGGCUACAUGAGAUUAUACUAUGAAUAUUCAUUGCCAUAAAUAUAAAUAUUGUAAUUUAAUCGCUGCACAACUGUAAUUUGUCCACCACACCGCACUUAUAUAUGCUUGGAGAGAUGUCAGUAGUGAACCUACGGCCAUGGGGUCUAUUUUACUUUACUGAAAACGUCACCAAAAAUAUUAUUCUUUGUUGUGCUUUUUAUUUAUUUUAUCUAUCUAUCUAUCAAUUCCUACCAUAUGGUGCAAUUUAGAAGAAAAAAAAUACAAUUAUAUUAGCUCUUCAUAGACAAACUUGGGGUUUGCGAGCCAAGGUAAGAUCGGUUUGGGAGGGGCAAAGGGAAUUUCUGGUGGAGCAGUGAAAUGCAUUGAGAUCGAAAAGAACACCAACGGCAAAAACAGUCGCUGGGUCGACACUGACACGAAGAGACGAAAGCUAGGGGAGCAAAUGGGAAUCUUGUAACUAGCAAGACACACACGUGCUGACCACCCUGACGAGAGACCAAAUGCUAACACAUACACAACAGGUACUACACACGUGUCGAUGCUAACACACGCAAUCAAAGUGGAGCACACUAAAGAUCAGAACACAGUCUAUGUUCGGAUCAGAACAGACAAAUAUUUAAGCUUUCAAAAUGAAAAUAAGAGGAUGAACUAGUAUGAUUUAUCCUUUUCUUCAAGGGAUCCCCCCCCCCCCUCGUUAUAUGUUUACAUAUAUUAUGUAGUAAGUGGUAACCAUUUCACUUCUGUCAACUAUGCUUUACCAGACGGAUGUGUAACAUUGAAGGGCUCGACUAUAUGUCGCUGCUCCAAUUGUUACCAUUGGGCCGACCAAGUAGUUACCUACAGGUAAGUUUGUUUCCUUUGGUUUUUUUCAUCCGUUCAUUUCGCCUUUCUUGUGUUCAUGUUUUUGAAACUAUUAUAAAAUACAUAUAUAUUCCAAAAACAUAAAUAAACUUACAAAACAAUAUAAACCGCAAAUUUGGGAAAUGUAAAAAUGUUAGCAUAGUUUUAAAAAAUUGAUAGCAUUCUGCAUUUAAAAAAUGUGUUCAUGAUAUUUUUUAAAAAGUUAAUAUAAUGGGAAAAGGUGUUCAUGUAGUCUAAAAAUGUUUCGUCUCAUGAAAAAAACUAACAUGUACCUAAAAAAUGUUUAACACAAUUUUGAAAAAACUGAUCAUGAACAUGUGUUUGAGAAAUGUUAAUCUUGUAUUUGGAAAUUGUUAAACAUGUAUAAAAAUGUUUCAGGUGUAUACGGAAAAUGUACAAUGUGUGUGAAAAAGGGUGGACAUCAAAACCUAUAUUUGAAAAAAAAUCAUGUAUUUGAGAAAUGUAAAAUGCACAAAUUUUCAUAUGUAUUUGAAGAAUGUAAAAUAUGUAUAGAAAAACUUUUGAAAAGUAUGAAUCAUGUAUUUUAAAAAUAUUAACCAUGUUUAAAAAAUGUUCCUGUUUUAUACAAAAAUUUACAUGUGUAUGGGAAUAGUAGACAUGUGUUAAAAAACAAGAAAAAAUGGGAAAACAUAAAAUCCAGUAGAGAAACACAGAAAACCAAAACCAAAAGAAAUCCGAUGAAAAUCGCAAGGAAAACACACAAUAGAGAAAAACAAAAGAGAAAACCGAUAAGGCGAUGAAAACUAUACAGAAAACCAAUAGAAGGAAAGAAGAAACAAAAAACCCUAUAAAACCCAAAGGAAAUCGAGAAAGACGUAAAACAAAAUAAAACCGAUGAGAAAUGUAAAGAAAACACACACAAAAAGAGAAAACAAAUGAUAUAAGUAAUUCUUCAAUUCAUUUGCAUGCCUUGUAUUUCACGUGGACAUAAAGAGUUGCAACUCAGUGCACAUUUGGCAUAUUAUACAUUAUUCCUAUGGUUUUAACUGAUUGAUUGCUUACUUAGAAAUGCCGAUUAGGAGUGAUGUUGUAGAAAUAAAUGAAGUUUCCUUGAAGAUAAACAAAUGAAGAUUACAUUCUUGUGUUACUUGUAGAUAGAAUGAUAAGUCUUUGAUUUUAUUUGGCAUGUGGUAUAUGAAUUAUUUUUUCUUUCAGAGCAGUGUAAUUGACCUAUUUAUGUUGUGUUACAGCUUGGAAUAUAAUUUAAGUUUACAUUAUGAAAAUUAUCCUGCUUUGGAGUGCGGCGUACUAAUAAGUAUAUUACGAAGGAUNNNNNNNNNNNNNNNNNNNNNNNNNNNNNNNNNNNNNNNNNNNNNNNNNNNNNNNNNNNNNNNNNNNNNNNNNNNNNNNNNNNNNNNNNNNNNNNNNNNNNNNNNNNNNNNNNNNNNNNNNNNNNNNNNNNNNNNNNNNNNNNNNNNNNNNNNNNNNNNNNNNNNNNNNNNNNNNNNNNNNNNNNNNNNNNNNNNNNNNNNNNNNNNNNNNNNNNNNNNNNNNNNNNNNNNNNNNNNNNNNNNNNNNNNNNNNNNNNNNNNNNNNNNNNNNNNNNNNNNNNNNNNNNNNNNNNNNNNNNNNNNNNNCACUGUUGGAUAAACAAAGAAUCAUGUAUAAAACACACACAAGGCCAUUGACCACAUAAUUUUUGGACCAAAUCAGGUAAUUUGCUAUGUACUUCAUAUCAGGUUUGUGAUGAGGAAUUACUACUGCUAUUUGUAUUUAUGCAACUCAGAGUAAAAUUUUGUAUAAUAACUUCGCAGAAUGAAAUGAUAUGGAAAUUAUCUACGUCGGCUUCAGGAACAUUUACUCUUCUGAAAUAAUAUCACUAUACCUUUGGUCUUCAAAUGAAAUUGGAGGCUGCUAAGUGAUGUAUUUAAAAAAUGUCUUUUGCCAGUACCUCUUAAUGUACUAGAUGAUGAACAGGCAUUUAAUUUUCAUAAUGUUCAUAAUCCAUAUGGAUAAGAUAAAACGACAUAGUAAUAUAUAAUGAACGUAUGCGUAUAGCAUUCUGGCUGUAACUUUUUGAGAAAUGUAAGAUGAUGGUGUUUUCACUUUUUAUAUAAAUCAUCUUCUAUAUAAUGUGUUUCAUGUUGCUACAUGCACAAAAAUCACACAUGAGCCAUAUGACUCCAAUUGCAAUAAUACUGAGUAUCUAGGGGACACACAGAACAAGGCCGCUAACAAAGCAACCUCCACGGGCCUUCAAGCAUUUUUCAAAUGCUUGAUUAACAUUUGGGCCCAAGACAUGCACUGUGGCAGUGAGCCAGAUCAGAAAGUUUUAUCAUUUUUUAUACAUGGUCGAUAUUUUUUCUAUACGCAUGUAAUGUUUUUCAAAUGCUUAAUUUACAUUUUUCAAGUACUUGUUCAAUUUUUUUCAAAUGCUUGAUUAACAUUUUUCAAAUACAUGACAAUUUUUUAAUUUUUUUUGCAUAUACGUGAUAAACAUUUUCGCUAUACACAUUUAACAUUUUCUAAUGCUUGGUCAACAUUUUCUAAAUGUUUAUGUAAGUUUUUUGUAAUAUAUAUUUAUAAUUUUUUAAAUAUAAACAAAGUAAAGGAGUUAAGCAAAAAAGAACAUAGAAAACGUUAAAAACAGAAAAAGAAGGCUGUAGCCUCCCGGGCGGCUUUGCCGACCCAUCUGGGCUCCCGGACACGAGGCUUGCCCUCUGUCUCCUUACGUUGAGACAUAGGGGCGCCCUGCGAUUGAUCAAUUGGGGGAGGGGGCGCUCGGGUGGUCAAACCAGGCCGCGGUCCCAAAGCAGUGGAACAAAAUGAAAUGACCUGAUAAAAAAUUUGGGCCCCUUAGGAUUUGGGGGCCGCAUGCGGUCGCACUGCUCGCACAGCCCCCUAGAUGGCCAUGGAUCAGUGGGUAUAAAUAUAUAGUUAGCAAUUUAAACUAAAAAUCUUCCCCCAAGUAAACCAACAAACAUCAACUAUAAGAUGUAAUCAACACUACUAGCACAGGUGCCAAUCUGAGAUUUGAUACAAAGAUUGAAUACAAGAGAUUGACUAGGGUUUAUAGAUGACAUGGUGCUAAUGAAGAUAUUGAUGAAGAUGAUGACUUCCACAAUGAGGGAAGCAUUGGUACACCAUUCAAAAAAAGAGGAGCGUUGGUGAUGAUGAAGGCUUCGAUUUGCCCCUCCUGGAGGAAAGUUUCCCUAGCGGAAUAGCUUCGCUAGAGAGAAAAUGUGAUCUUGCCCUGGUUCCACCUCGAGACGGCGACCUGAAGUCCCAAACGUGUUCUCUCUAUUUUUUUUCUAGGGAAAAUGAAGAUAUAGGACCAAUGGACGCUGGCAGAGGAGGCUUAGGGCCCCCACAAGGCUAGGUGGCGCCACCUACCCUUGUGCGCGGUUGGUUGGGCCUCCUCUGACCCAUUCUUGCUCUGGUAUUUUUAUAUAUUCCAAAAUAAAUCUUUAAAAAGUUUCACUUCAUUUUCAGCUCUGGAGAAUUGUUAUCUCUGUUGUAGCUUUUUCAUGUCAGAAUUCCAGCUGCCGGUAGUCCCUUGUUUUGAUGUAUCUUGCAUUUUAAGAAAGAAAAGGCAUUAGAAUUGGAUUAAAAAGUGAAAUAUAACAUUGAAAUAAAAUAUAUCAGUAGGAAAUAAAGAUGCAAAAUGGACGUAUCAUGCUUUUAGUAAAUUUCAUAUCAAUAAAUUAGCAUCUUGUAUUUACGGUAAUGUACAAAAUCCUAACUACCAAAGCCUAGCGUAAAAUCGUACAUAUGCCACUGAUCGAGAAGCGAAAAGGCAAUCACAGUGAUUGCACUAAAGACCAGAACACACGUGAACACAAUCUGCCUAUGUGUUCUGAUCAGCGGGGUGACUGUGUUCAUGUGUGUUCUGAUGAACAUUGUACAGAUUUCAAAAUGAAAAUAAGAGAAUGAACUAGCGUAAACCAUAGAGUUGUUUAAAUAUGAACACUGUACAGAUUUCAAAAUGAAAAUAAGAGAAUGAACUAGUAUGUUUUUUGGGUGGGCGGGUGUAUUUACAUAUAUAUGUUUGUAUAGUAGUACUCUUAUGCAGUAUCAUCCUACUCUAAUUAUAUUAUUUAGUAAGCAGUAAACCAUUUCACAUUUGUCUGCUAUGCCUUUAUCAUACCUAUAUAACUUUGGAGGGCGGCUAUAUGUCGCUGCUCUCCCGUCCUUACUAUUGGGCCGACCAAAUAGUUCAUUUUUACCUUUCUUUUGUUCAUAUUUUAAAACCAUUAUAAAAUACAUAUAUUUCAGAAACUUAAAUCAGCUUAAAAAAAUUAGAAACCAAUAUUUGAGAAAUGUUAAAGCAGUACAAAAAAAUUAGCGUAGUUUAGAAAUUGAUAGCAUUAAAAAAUAUUCACACAUUUCAAAAAAUAUGUUCAUGACAAUAAUAAGUGCGUUUAUACAAUAGAAAAUUUUCUUUUGUAGUUUUAAAAAAAUGUUUCAUAACAUGAAAAAAAAUCAACAUGUACUUGAAAAAUGUUUAACACCUAAAAUAAGGCAACCUCCACGGGCCUGGAAGCAUCUGGCCCUCCCUUUUUCUCACUCUCUUUCGGGCCCAACACGCGCACUGCGGGAGUGAGACAGAUCCAUCCCACCCACCCACCCCCAACCCCGUCGGCCACCACGCGCACACACACAGAGGCGCAGACCCAGACGAGCGCGAGACCGGACCGAGAAGCGGCGGACGGCGGCGAUGGGCGGCGGAGGCGCGCACGGCGGCACGACGUACAAGGGCUACACCAUCCCCCACAACAAGCGCUGGCACACCAUCGCCGGCAAGGGCCUCUGCGCCACCAUGUGGUAAUCGCCCGCCCGCUCGAUCCCCUCUCCUCCCUCCCGCCGCCGCUCCGACGCCCGCUUUCCCCGGUCGACCCUGGCCCGAACGGGGACGCACGGUGGAUUUGAUUGGGAACUCUUUGUUCCAAACG